GAAGCGAGGCUGUGAAGCGGAGCAAAUCUCAAAAACCGGUCCCAGUUCGGAUUGUAGGCUGCAACUCGCCUACAUGAAGUCGGAGUUGCUAGUAAUCGCGGAUCAGAAUGCCGCGGUGAAUGCGUUCCCGGGUCUUGUACACACCGCCCGUCACACCAUGGAAGUUGGGGGCGCCCGAAGUUGCCUAAGAAAUAAGGUACCUAAGGCGAAACCAAUGACUGGGGUGAAGUCGUAACAAGGUAUC
rnacentral:rRNA from 1 species